rnacentral:rRNA from 1 species
GUCUACAGCCAUGCCACCCUGAACGUGCCUAUCUCGUCUGAUCUCAGAAGCUAAGCAGGGUCAGGCCUGGUUAGUACUUGGAUGGGAGACCACCUAAGAAGAUCUGUAAAUAAAAU